AUCUUGGGAAAUUUCAUCGUGAUGGGGAUAGAUCAUUGCAAUUGUUGGUCUUCAACGAGGAAUGCCUAGUAAGCGCGAGUCAUCAGCUCGCGUUGACUACGUCCCUGCCCUUUGUACACACCGCCCGUCGCUCCUACCGAUUGAAUGGUCCGGUGAAGUGUUCGGAUCGCGGCGACGGGGGCGGUUCUCCGCCCCCGACCUCGCGAGAAGUCCAUUGAACCUUAUCAUUUAGAGGAAGGAGAAGUCGUAACAAGGUUUCCGUAGGUGAACCUGCGGAAGGAUCAUUG
rnacentral:rRNA from 1 species